rnacentral:rRNA from 1 species
UACGUAGGGCGCAAGCGUUGUCCGGAAUUAUUGGGCGUAAAGAGCUCGUAGGCGGUCUGUUACGUCCGCUGUGAAAACCCAGGGCUUAACCCUGGGCUGGCAGUGGAUACGGGCAGACUAGAGGUAGGUAGGGGAGAAUGGAAUUCCCGGUGUAGCGGUGAAAUGCGUAGAUAUCGUAAGGAAGACCAGUGGCGAAGGCGGGUCUCUGGACAGUUCCUGACGCUGAGGCACGAAGGCCAGGGGAGCAAACGGG